UACGUAGGGUGCGAGCGUUGUCCGGAAUUAUUGGGCGUAAAGAGCUCGUAGGCGGUCUGUCGCGUCGAUCGUGAAAACUUGGGGCUUAACCCUGAGCUUGCGGUCGAUACGGGCAUGACUGGAGUUCGGCAGGGGAGACUGGAAUUCCUGGUGUAGCGGUGAAAUGCGCAGAUAUCAGGAGGAACACCGGUGGCGAAGGCGGGUCUCUGGGCCGAUACUGACGCUGAGGCGCGAAAGCGUGGGGAGCAAACAAG
rnacentral:rRNA from 1 species